rnacentral:rRNA from 1 species
UAGUCUGGUGCCAGCAGCCGCGGUAAUUCCAGCUCCAAUAGCGUAUAUUAAAGUUGUUGCAGUUAAAACGCUCGUAGUCGGAUUUCGGGGCGGGCCGACCGGUCUGCCGAUGGGUAUGCACUGGCCGGCGCGUCCUUCCACCCGGAGACCGCGCCUACUCUUAACUGAGCGGGCGCGGGAGACGGGUCUUUUACUUUGAAAAAAUCAGAGUGUUUCAAGCAGGCAGUCGCUCUUGCAUGGAUUAGCAUGGGAUAAUGAAAUAGGACUCUGGUGCUAUUUUGUUGGUUUCGAACACCGGAGUAAUGAUUAACAGGGACAGUCAGGGGCACUCGUAUUCCGCCGAGAGAGGUGAAAUUCUCAGACCAGCGGAAGACGAACCACUGCGAAAGCAUUUGCCAGGGAUGUUUUCACUGAUCAAGAACGAAAGUUAGGGGAUCGAAGACGAUCAGAUACCGUCGUAGUCUUAACCAUAAACCAUGCCGACUAGGGAUUGGAGGAUGUUCCAUUUGUGACUCCUUCAGCACCUUUCGGGAAACUAAAGUCUUUGGGUUCCGGGGGGAGUAUGGUCGCAAGGCUGAAACUUAAAGGAAUUGGCGGAAGGGCACCACCAGGAGUGGAGCCUGCGGCUUAAUUUGACUCAACACGGGGAAACUUACCAGGUCCAGACAUUGUGAGGAUUGACAGAUUGAGAGCUCUUUCUUGAUUCGAUGGGUGGUGGUGCAUGGCCGUUCUU